rnacentral:misc_RNA from 1 species
CAAAUUGGAAGGGAAGAAUCCCCUCGAAGAGCCAAAAAAGCUAAAGAAUGAGCAAAAAGGAUAUAAUAAUAAUAAUUUCAAUUUUUUAAUUAUCUUAAAAGAAGCAUACAAAUAAUCUCAAGUUCUACGAGUAAAUCAAACCAGCCAAGAGGUCGAUUCUCUCGGAUUUUCAAUUGAACCAGCCGGGUUGAGUUUGACAACCACGGUUUAUAUGCAUAAUUCCCAUCAGAAGAAUGCAUGCAUUUCACUUGUUUCAUCAUUCCAAAUAGCAAAAGAAUAUCUAAUCAAGGAUUUUAUUCGAAAACAACUCAAGCAGAAGAACUAGCAAUGCAUGCUGAAGGACCAAAUAUAUAGAAGGGAAUCAUUGACCAAGGAGGAGAUAAAUGAACCACAUGAAAUGCCUCAAAAACAUUUGCAUUAGCCAAAGGCCAAGAAAUGUAUAGCAUCUCAAACUAUAAUUUAAUGAAUCAACAGAAAAUCUAAUGAUCACUCAAUCCUGGAACGUGAACUAUAUCAAUUACAACAACAGAACCCCUUUUUGUCCUAAUCAUUCAUACAAGACAGCAGUUUAUGGAAUCCAGAAUUCCCUAUGAAUAUAACAAUGACACACGAGCACCCAACUAUUCAAGGUCAUGAUCUUCCAAUGCGGUCAAAAUCAUCCUACACAUACAAAAUAAAAGUUAAAACAAUCUCAAAACUAAUUAAUUUCGGUAAUGAAACAUAGCUGAUUGCAGCUCUGCAUCUUCACAUACCAGAAAAUUGACAGAAAGAGGAGAAAAAUGAGAUAGAAGAGUUUGAAAAGUCGCUGCUUCUUUUCCCAGUGAAGCAAGUUGAAUAUCUCAGUCACAUCUAUCAGAUGCUGUCUUCGUGUGUAACUGAUCAAUGACAGGAAGUUAGAAAAAGCAGACUAUCAUUUCAAUCAGAUGUAACCAGCAAAUUUCAAAGCCUAGCCAUGUUCAAGCAUCUACAUCAUUAAAAUGCACUGAAAUAAAUUUACAUGAAAUGGCUACAUAAUGUCUUGCAUAGUAUUAUCUUCAUUAGCUGGAUAAUAAAUUAUCUAUUAAUGUCAGGACCAUUCUCAAAUCCAUUCAACCUGUCAGAAGGAGGGAUCAGUGAUAUAUUCCUUUCUUACAUAUAUAAAUUUACAAUUUAUUACACUCUACAGUUUUGCGUCCCCCACUAGCCAUUGUUGGCCCUCCAACUUGGGCAGCAGCUCACUAUGGCAAUUGGCAACACAGAGACAAGCCCACUAAAAAUGUUAAAUAACACUAUAUGUGGUUUUACUUCCUUGAUGAGAGAAAUAAUGCACAUUGCCCUUGAUGCCCUCUGCAACUUACAAAGUAUCUAAAAUUUUGAGACGCACUGUAGUUUGGCUGAUCAUUGAGAUGACUCCGCUGAAUAGUGUAAAUAAGCAAAUUGUGGGAAGCUUCUUUCAAGAUAAAAGUUAUCCCAAAGCUCGAGAUACUCUCAAACAUCAAACCCCAAAGUGAAACUCACAAAAUGCUUAAAUAUUUAGGUCAUGCCUUCAAACCUUGAGUAUUAUGUCCAAGCAAGAAUCAUGGUAAUAAAGCAUCAAAAGGCUUCAACAGCAUUGGAUAUGCAAUUAUAUCAUUCAAAUAUAUUCCAGAAUAUUAGUGCACUUUUGUCCAACAAUCAAACAAAUUAUCAACACAACCAAAGCUUUAGUAGCAUAGAUAACAUAGAUUAAGCAGUAUUUGGUAAAAAAUCCCAUUGAAGCAUUUAUGAAAUUGAAAUGGUUACGCUUUUCUUUAAUAGGCAACAAGGAUUCUAUCUUAAUCCACUGUAGCCUCCUUUCCUCUUCAGAUCUACACGCCCUCCUCUCUCUCUCUCUCUCU